AUUGAACGCUGGCGGUAUGCUUAACACAUGCAAGUCGAACGCGAAAGCACUUCGGUGUGAGUAGAGUGGCGGACGGGUGAGUAACGCGUAAGAAUCUGCCCAGUAGUGGGGGACAACUCGGAGAAAUUCGAGCUAAUACCGCAUACGCCCUACGGGGGAAAGGCUUCGGCCGCUAUUGGAUGAGCUUGCGUUGGAUUAGCUAGUUGGUGAGGUAAUGGCUCACCAAGGCGACGAUCCAUAGCUGGUCUGAGAGGACGAUCAGCCACACUGGGACUGAGACACGGCCCAGACUCCUACGGGAGGCAGCAGUGGGGAAUAUUGGACAAUGGGCGAAAGCCUGAUCCAGCAAUACCGCGUGUGUGAAGAAGGCCUGCGGGUUGUAAAGCACUUUCAGCUGGGAAGAUAAUGACGGUACCAGCAGAAGAAGCACCGGCUAACUCCGUG
rnacentral:rRNA from 1 species